GGACGAAGCGGAAGUGACGGUACCUGCAGAAGAAGCACCGGCCAACUACGUGCCAGCAGCCGCGGUAAUACGUAGGGUGCAAGCGUUGUCCGGAAUUAUUGGGCGUAAAGAGCUCGUAGGCGGUUCGUCGCGUCGGCUGUGAAAUCCCGGAGCUCAACUCCGGGUCUGCAGUCGAUACGGGCGGACUUGAGUUCGGCAGGGGAGACUGGAAUUCCUGGUGUAGCGGUGAAAUGCGCAGAUAUCAGGAGGAACACCGGUGGCGAAGGCGGGUCUCUGGGCCGAUACUGACGCUGAGGAGCGAAAGCGUGGGGAGCGAACAGGAUUAGAUACCCUGGUAGUCCACGCCGUAAACGUUGGGCGCUAGGUGUGGGGGCCAUUCCACGGUCUCCGUGCCGCAGCUAACGCAUUAAGCGCCCCGCCUGGGGAGUACGGCCGCAAGGCUAAAACUCAAAGGAAUUGACGGGGGCCCGCACAAGCGGCGGAGCAUGUUGCUUAAUUCGAUGCAACGCGAAGAACCUUACCUAGGCUUGACAUGCACGGAAAUCUUCCAGAGAUGGGAGGUCCGUAAGGGUCGUGCACAGGUGGUGCAUGGUUGUCGUCAGCUCGUGUCGUGAGAUGUU
rnacentral:rRNA from 1 species